rnacentral:rRNA from 1 species
UCCGUAGGGUGAACCUGCGGAAGGAUCAUUACUGUGAUUUAGUACUACACUGCGUGAGCGGAACGAAAACAAAAACACCUAAAAUGUGGAAUAUAGCAUAUAGUCGACAAGAGAAAUCUACGAAAAACAAACAAAACUUUCAACAACGGAUCUCUUGGUUCUCGCAUCGAUGAAGAGCGCAGCGAAAUGCGAUACCUAGUGUGAAUUGCAGCCAUCGUGAAUCAUCGAGUUCUUGAACGCACAUUGCGCCCCUCGGCAUUCCGGGGGGCAUGCCUGUUUGAGCGUCGUUUCCAUCUUGCGCGUGCGCAGAGUUGGGGGAGCGGAGCGGACGACGUGUAAAGAGCGUCGGAGCUGCGACUCGCCUGAAAGGGAGCGAAGCUGGCCGAGCGAACUAGACUUUUUUUCAGGGACGCUUGGCGGCCGAGAGCGAGUGUUGCGAGACAACAAAAAGCUCGACCUCAAAUCAGGUAGGAAUACCCGCUGAACUUAAGCAUAUCAAUAAGCGAAGGAA